UGUUCACCAAGGACGAAUCCACUUCAUUGCUUGUCUAGAUUUUCCCUCCCGGUGGUAAAGCUGUUGACUCCCCUAUGACUCGAAAAUAUUCCAAUUCUUCUAUCCUGCUCAACAUAGUGGUGCUUUGGGUCUGAUAAUCUUGAUUUAUGAGCACAGAUGACCUCAAGCUUUGACUCAGCUUGUGUUUCCCUGAUUUCUUGUAGUCGCUAGCCUCCAUGCUUGUGAUUGUAUGGUUUACGACAUGCAUAUCCAAAUUAUCCUUGGUCGACUUGCUUC
rnacentral:lncRNA from 1 species